rnacentral:lncRNA from 1 species
UAAAUACCAUGGCCAUAUUCUGUACCCGGAGAGACCUCUCCCAGUAUUAAGAGUGUUUCUUUAGUGCCUGGAGAUUAACUUUAACCAAGUGGAGGGCAAGUUCAAUGUAAAAAUAGUCUGUAACUAAAAUAGAGACUGGCUGUUGCCUGCUGGGCUGGAGGCUCCAGUUAGAUGCUUUUUCCUAUAAUCAGAAUGUUUCUGGGCAGUGUGACCUCAGUUAGCAACUUCUGUGACUGGGGCACUAUUCUCUGACCUGUUUCAAAAAAAUGGUAGACCAAAGCCCUGGGAGGGGGGAAUGUUGUGUGUACAUAAUCCCUGCGUAGGUAUAUAUGCACUUCUGUUCUCUGAAGUAGAAAAUGUUAAACAUUACCAAGGUCAGGACCCAGGAGGGUCCUGAUUUCUAGUCGCCACUUAAGGAAGACCAGAAGAAUGGAAAUCUUUUGGUAUCUCAUACAUAUGUGAUGCAAUCUCUUAAUUGUAUCCUCAUAAGAGAACAAGGGGAAACAGAGAGUCGUUGGUCUGUCUCUCCCAUGGUCAGGGCUCAUCCUUAAAUGGAUGUUACUUAGUAUUUCCAGUUCUUGUGUUGGAUACCCAGGCCGGCUGUCUGUGUUCUGCAUGUGAGAUCUUCUGUCUCUGCCUUGUGUCCCAGGGUGGAGGAGGAAAUGUGUGUGUGUGUGUGUGUGUGUGUGUGUGUGUGUGUGUGUGUGUGUGUGUGUGUGUGAAUGGAGCAUUUCUAAGAUAAAUGCUAGCAUGUAUCUGUCCUAUGUUAUGACAACACAAGACAAAAGCAUUGAGCCAGCAAUGAAUCAGAGCAGUGGCUUGCUGUCUCUCUAGUAGGUCAUAGAACACUAAAAAUUCGGAUUGAGCAAUCGUUAGUAGACAUCAUGAGUCGUAAGUAAAGAGGCGGAGUUUAGUAGAAAAGUCAGAAACAUACAAACCAGAUAUACUAUACUAUCAGCAUUCCACAGGAAUACUGACCAACUAGUUCCUGGGCUUUAGACAUACUGUCCUCUUACUUGGAGCUCCGUGUUCUUCCUCCAUCCCAGGAGGACUCUCCAUCCCUCAGUUCCAGGACACUCGUGUCAGAGGAUUCUUGGAAACUAUAUACCUCACUUUCCAGGCAAGGAGACUGAAGCUCUACACAAUCCAAGCCUCUAAUGACUAAACAGCUCUGCUAGUUCCUUUUCUGUUAGCUAAACAAACAGCCGGGGUUGAUGGUCUGUGCCUAAAUGCACAGGUUUACUGUGGCUCUGGGGUGGGAGGUUUCAGCCUGUGAUCUGUUGGCACCAUGGCUUGGGCCAGUGCUGAGUCAGCACAGCCUGGCUGGGUGUGCAAGGCAGAACAAAGCUGGGACCAGGGCCAGGAUGUGGAAAGGGAAAGAGAAAGGCUGUCUUUCCGAGUCUGCCCGGAGGGCUCAUUCCCAAGGACUCUGCUAGGCUCUAUCACAAAAGGUCUGUCACCUCCCCUUAGAUCCAGGUUAAAGGCCAACUCUUUCAGGUUAAGGGCCAACUCUUUAACACUUGGGCCUGUGGGAGACAGUCCAGAUACAAACCACAGCAUUUUUUUUUAAUGGGAAGAACUGUUCACCAUGUUUCAGGCUAUGGUCCCUUGUGACGUGUAUCCUUUGAGUGUGUUACUACGUCUACAGAGUGUCUCAUACAGGUCCUUGGGUUUAGGUCCCCACUGCCCAAGUGCCAGGAAUGUGGGCCAGUUUACAAAAGUGUCACCACCCUGCUCUUUGAAAGGAAUAUUUUGGUGGAAAGAGGUGUUUUAGAUUAGAAAUUAAGACAUAGCCAUGCAUGUUGCUGCAGGCCUGGGAUGGGGGAGGGGGAGACCAAGAGUUUGAUUCCAUCCCGGGCCCCAUUUCAGAAAACUAAAGGCUAGCGAUGUAGAUUAUGACAGCAGACUUGUUUGGCGUGCAGGAGGCCCUGUGUCCAGCCCCUUGCGCUAUAGAUUUACUUUAAGAACUGUAAAUGUUGAGGUGCAAUUAUUUUUUCACUGACUGAUGAUUCUCAAUUCAGAGUGGAAGAAUGAGCGACUUUGGGGAUGAAUCCUCGGCAAGGACUCCAGAAAUGAAGGAGGGGCCUUCAUAGCAUCCUCCUGAUGAGCGCCAGCUCACCUUCAUAGCAUCCUUCUCAUGAGCGCCAGCUCACCUUCAUAGCAUCCUCCUGAUGAGCGCCAGCUCACCUUCAUAGCAUCCUUCUCAUGAGCGCCAGCUCACCUUCAUAGCAUCCUUCUCAUGAGCGCCAGCUCACCUUCAUAGCAUCCUUCUCAUGAGCGCCAGCUCACCUUCAUAGCAUCCUUCUCAUGAGCGCCAGCUCACCUUCAUAGCAUCCUUCUCAUGAGCGCCAGCUCACCUUCAUAGCAUCCUCCUGAUGAGCGCCAGCUCACCUUCAUAGCAUCCUUCUCAUGAGCGCCAGCUCACCUUCAUAGCAUCCUCCUGAUGAGCGCCAGCUCACCUUCAUAGCAUCCUUCUCAUGAGCGCCAGCUCACCUUCAUAGCAUCCUUCUCAUGAGCGCCAGCUCACCUUCAUAGCAUCCUUCUCAUGAGCGCCAGCUCACCUUCAUAGCAUCCUCCUGAUGAGUGCCAGCUCAGUUCUCUCCUCUGGCCUAAUUCAUUUUAUCUGCAGGACUUUUCUUUCGAUAAAGGCAGUGUGUAUACACCAUGCCUUUCGAGGUUCCCUCCAUCUUCUUUCCACUCUUGGUCUGCGUAGUAAUGACGGUUGGUCCCUACUGAGCCCUUCUGGCUGCCCAACCUUGGCCACACGUGCUUUCAGGCCUGUGGCUGCAUGAGGCCAAAUGUACCUAUGAGUUCACCCAACACAAACUUGUAAACCUACCUAAAACAUUGUGAGGUUUGUUUUUCUUUUUCUUUCUCUUCUCUUCUCUUCUCUUCUCUUCUCUUCUCUUCUCUUCUCUCCCUUUCCUUUUUUUUUUCUUUUCUUUUCUCUUUGUAACUUGACUUGGGGGCACCCUUACAGAUGACAUUUUGUGGCAGUGUGUAAAGGUUCCAAGAGGUUUAUUCCUGUAAGCUAGAUACCACUCUGCAUCUUAUUUUAGAGAAGGAGCACGUGAGCCACCGAGGGAAAUUUGUCUGACUAAAGUAGGGUGUUCUCUUUCCAAAACUCAUGAUGCUCACUGCCAGUUCUUUAAGACGUGUGGUGUGGGGAUGGAGAGAUGGCUCAGCAGUUAAGAGCACUGACUGCUUUUCCAAAGGUCCAGAGUUUAGUUCCCGGUAACCACAUGGUGGCUCACAAUCAUCUGUAAUAGGAUCUGAUGCCCUCUUCUGGUGUGUCUGAAGACAGCUACAAUGUACUCAUAUAAAUAAAAAAUAAAUAAAUCUGUU